rnacentral:rRNA from 1 species
UACGAAGGGGGCUAGCGUUGUUCGGAAUUACUGGGCGUAAAGGGCGCGUAGGCGGCGUGUCAAGUCAGGCGUGAAAGCCCCGGGCUCAACCUGGGAACCGCGCUUGAGACUGGCAUGCUCGAGUUCGGGAGAGGAUGGUGGAAUUCCCAGUGUAGAGGUGAAAUUCGUAGAUAUUGGGAAGAACACCGAUGGCGAAGGCGGCCCACUGGUCCGGUACUGACGCUGAGGUGCGAAAGCGUGGGGAGCAAACAGG